ACACACGGAGGUGGGGCGGGGCCGAGUCAAACUGGACGCUCCUCCUCCAGUCCUCUUCCUCGAGUGCCUGCGGUCGCAGUGAGUCUGCCCUGCACCUCAGUAUCUAGCCCACGGUGCCUUCGAGGCGUCUGAUUGUCCCGGCUCGGGCUGGCAGCCACAGCAAUGCUGAGCGCUGUGCUGGGAAGGAGGAGUUGCUCCUGUGUCAGGCGCAGGAGGAGCCUGUGCCCCACACUCCCUAGCAGCAGUGGCUGCUCUGCCUCUCCCCUCUGCCCCAGCCCUCUGAGAAUCCUCUCUUCACCUAGCAGCAGCAGAGAGGUGCAGGGAAGCUCUCUCCAGCCAGGUGCUAAUAAUGUGAAGCCACUCGAAGGUGUAAAAAUUCUUGAUCUAACAAGGGUACUUGCAGGACCCUUUGCAACAAUGAAUUUAGGAGACCUAGGAGCAGAAGUUAUUAAAGUGGAAAGACCAGGAGUUGGUGAUGACACAAGAGCCUGGGGGCCACCUUUUGUUGGAACAGAAAGCAUUUAUUUUCUCAGUGUAAAUCGAAAUAAAAAGAGUAUAGCUGUCAAUAUGAAAAAUCCAAAAGGAGCAAAGAUAAUCAGAGAGCUUGCAGCUGUGUCUGAUGUUUUUGUGGAAAAUUAUGUCCCUGGGAAACUAGCUGAAAUGGGCCUGGGGUAUGAAGACAUUAACAAGAUUGCUUCUCACAUUGUGUACUGUUCAAUAACAGGUUAUGGUCAGACUGGUCCAGCGUUUCAGAGAGCAGGUUAUGACUCUGUUGCAGCGGCUGUUUCUGGUCUUAUGCAUAUCACAGGGCCGGAGGAUGGUGGUCCAGUUAGGCCAGGAGUAGCCAUGACAGACCUUGCUACAGGGCUGUACACGUAUGGAGCAAUCAUGGCCGGCCUGCUUCAAAGAUAUAAAACUGGGAAGGGACUUCACAUUGACUGCAAUCUAUUGUCAUCUCAGGUUGCAUGUCUUACCCAUAUAGCAGCUAAUUACCUUAAUUGCAAAAUGGAAGCAAAGCGGUGGGGUACGGCUCAUGGCAGUAUUGUUCCUUAUCAGGCUUUCAAAACUAAGGAUGGCUACCUAGUGGUGGGAGCUGGGAAUGAUCAGCAAUUUGUCACCGUGUGCAAGAUCCUGAAUUUGCUUGAAAUUAGUAAAGAUUCCAGAUAUAAAACUAACAAACUCCGAGUGCAGAACAGGAAAGAGCUUAUUGAAAUAUUAUCAGCCCGGUUUUCAGAAAAAAUGACCACCAAAUGGCUUGAACUCUUUGAAGGUAGUGGUGUUCCAUAUGGUCCAAUCAACAGUAUGCAGCAAGUAUUCUUGGAUCCUCAGGGCUUGGGUGUUGUUUUUUGCUUGGUGGGUAGUAAUAGGCAAUUUUUGCUGAAAGCUGAGUGUCAAGACAGGAAUCAAGUUGCAGUAAUCGAGCUCAGACUACAAGGUGCGGCACAAUAGACUUAUAAUGGAAAUGGAUCAUCCAACAGUAGGGAAGAUAGCUGUCCCAGGUUGAUUGUUUUUACCUGGUCUUAAUUAACAUCUUCAUUCAGCACUCAGAUACCACAGCCGUAGAUGCCAUAUACGAAUCUAGGGAGAUGGAUGGAUACACAGAGAUCUGGAAGAGGAAUUAAAUAUGUUUAAGAAAAUGAAUGAUCAUUCUGAAUGGAGAGCACUACAGACUCUUUGAGGAUAGAAAAAUAAUGGAAAAGAGAGGUUAGCUAUAAGGGAAAACCCAAAUCUCACUGGAUGGUACUGGGGCAGCCAAAUUAAACUAGUGAACAAAGUUGAGGAAGCCUUGGAAUCUGAUUUAAUCCUAAACUCUUCUGGUGAAGAACAUCAAUUCAUUUGCUACCAAAGCAGCAUUUUCUCUUGCUUUGUGUGGGCCACUGGACAAUGUAUUUUUAAUGGCUACAUGGGAUAUAAUAUACACCAACACCUAUUUGUUUUUAUAGCAUGAACUAUUGUCCAAAUCUGUCCAAUUAUGGUAUAUUUCGUAUAUGACUUUGAAAGCCCAAAUAACAACUUUCCCAACAUCUACAUUAUCCAAGUGUUGGCCUGUAAAAACUUGCCUUUUAUCACUAUUUUUUUAAAUAGUUAAAAAAACAACAACAAAAACCUAAACCGGACAGACAGAAAUGUAUACAGUCCCCUUUAUUAACCUUUUAAGGUAGAAACACUCAUGAGCAUAUCUGUUGGAUGAGCUUGGCAGGUCAGCUGUCCAAGCCUGACACCACUGGUUUAAAAUUAGAGUUUUCGGUCUCCUAGAUGAGCUGCCUGCCAAGGCUGAUGAGCCCUACUUUCCCAACAAGAUUUAUUUUAAGGUGGUUUUUAUUUGCCUUGAACAUCCUUGUUAUAGGGCCUAAGUGGCAUGGUUGAAAUUUGGAGAGGUCAGUAUGGAUUCAUGCCAGGAAGGAUCACAAUUGUUGCCAUGUUUGUGCUACAAAUUCUCAUGGAGACAUUCACAGAAAAGAGUUGGCAAUUGGAUGUGGUCUUUGUGGAUCUGGAGAAGGUGUGCAAUUGUGUACCAAGAGAAUUAGUUGGGUGGAGUUUGCAACGGAGAAGCAUGCCAGAAGGAUAUGUAUGAUGAAGUGAAUGCUGUAGUCAAACUAAAUGGGGCUACAGUAGAGAAUUUCUGGUAAACGCUGGCCUGCAACAGGUUGUUGUUUUGAGUCUUAAUUUAUUAACAUUUGAAAAACACUUCGCUAUCUUCAGAAGGAGGGUGAUACUGAAGUGUCAGGUGCUUUUUUAAUGUAUUUAUUUUGCCCAGGAAAACAAGGCAGGCUGAUUAUAAAGGAAGAAAACUGCGAUGGUAUUUCCUUGUAUUGAAUCAACUUGCCAGAAACCUCAGACUGUUGUUAACUAUGCCGUCUUCUUUUCAAUCUUUUAGCGUCGGGAAAGGGGGGAAGGUUCAGUAGGACUAGAUACAUGGCAGAGACUGUUCAUUGAAAAGUGUUGUCCUGCAUUGAGGGAUUUUGCAGGAAAUUAAAGAAAUCUGUGCUACAAUACAUUGUUUCCUGCAGCUAGGAGAUCUCGCGCUACAGGAACAACAACAAAAUAAAACAUCCCAGCAAUUCUCUACAAGAGCCCCUGCCUGAACUUCUGAUCCUGUCUGCUUUUCAUCACACAUUCUUGGUGUGCUUUUGUGUGUGUGCGUGUGCUUAGCUAAUGUUGAUUGAAAAAUUUUAAUUUCACUUCACUAUUUAUGGCACGUUGGAGACAUAAAUUCACCAGCAUUACCGUUACCUCAUUCACCUUUUUUAGUCAUCAGCACUGACUGUUUAUGUGUUUUACAUUUGCAGAGCUGAUUUCAAUUUUGAGGAAUUCAGUACCAUUGCAGGAACUCCGCAGAAAUGAUGUAUGUCAUCUCACUUGGCUAUCCUCAAAAUACUUUAAAAAAAUCUUAAAAAUAUAUAUAAACAGUAGAUUGGUACUGAUUGCAAAACCAGAAAUGAGGUAGUGGGGAAGGUAAGGAAUAUGUUCUGAGUUUGGGGAUUAUUCAGAAAAGUAAAGGACUUUUUUUUUUUAAAAGAAAAAUGUGUGAUAUUUUAAUUUGGAAUGUGAUGGCAUUCCUUUUAAAGUGAGGAAUAAAUAGCAAACCUUCUUACUCCUCCAGCAUAUUUUCUUAACAUUUUAUAAAGUGAUUACACACACACCCCCACACACCCCCAAUGGUAGAAUGGCCUUUGCACCUUAAUCAAUGCUUCCCCACUUACGACGGAAGAAGAAGUAAGCUGCCUCUUACCUAGGGUGAGUACAUGUCCUGAUUUUUAUAGGGACAGUCCCGAUUUUGGGGGCUUUUUCUUAUAUAGGCACCUAUUACCUCCCACUGCAUGUCCCGAUUUUUUACACUUGCUAUCUGGUCACUCUACUCUGACCCAUUGCUGUGACUUUCAUUCUAUGGGGCCAUCACACCUUUCCCUGAAUCCAGAUUGGCUGUGCAUGCAUCCUACGCAUCACUAUGGCAUGGACUGGAACUAGGAAUUUUGUGUUCCGUAGACAGCAGUUCUGUCAGCUGAGCCAAUAGUGAGUCUGCCCUUGUGUUAAGCUUGUCUCAGCUGGAAGUUGCUCUUUGCAGAGCUUAGAGUUUUUAUUUAAGUUUCUCUCUAGAUUAUAUACAUAUGUGGCAGUCAAAGCAGUUAUUUUAUAGCACGUUUCUUUCUGCUUUUGAAGUCAGAAUGACAGAAGGAUAUUUUCUUAAAACAAAAGAGAGCACUCCCACCUACUCUGUAUGGUACAAUACUGAGUAAAAUAAAAUCUGUGAAUGAGUGUAACUCUGCAUAUUAUUUAGUCAGUGGUUUUAUUUCUAAGGAUGAAAAGAUUUUCUUUAUUUUUUACUCCAUCUUCAGUGAGUUACUAUCUGGCUCUCUUUGUUUUACGCUAGACACUUUUCCAAUGAUACAAAUAAACAAAAAUAACACUUUUCUGCACUCAGUCAUAUAUCUGAAUCAAACUAAAGAAACAGAAUUAUUUAGGCAACCAUUUUGUCUAAAGUGUUAUCCUCUCACCAGAGGUAACAUUUAUUGCAGCUGUCAUAUGUGUCUCUGGAAUUCAGUUUUGUUUAGGAACAAAACCCACUAUUUUUGUUGUUUUCCACAAAAUAGUCCCUCACCUCUGCCUGUUCAAAUAGCUCAGAAAGCAUUUUCCUAUCCCCUUCCUCUGUGACCAAGCACAGCCAGGUGCUCACACAGAACAGGGUGUGUGAUUGUAAAGAUAUAUAUGUGUGCCUCGGGUGCAUUGUAAAACAGCCAAAUUACUUCAGCGCCCAUAAAUUGCAAGUAUAUCUUUAUGAUCUUUAAUAAUUAUUGGAUAAGAAAAGGAAUCCACUGUCAAUUCAAAAGUUUAGUUUAAUUAAAUGUCAGAAUAUGUUUUAAACAUUUAGACAAUUUUCCUUAAUCCCUAGAACACUGGGAUGACUGUACAAGUCCCCUUGCAUGCUCCCACCACAUGUCUUCCUAACAAACAAGCCCUUCCCCAUUUUCAAAAGGAGCCCUCCAUAGCCCUAUCCCAGGAGUGGAGUGAAUGGCUGGAUUUAAAUUGUUAAAAGUGAGCAUAUUUUCAUAGAUGUUAAAUCCAGAAGUGACCAUACGAUCAUCUAGUCUAUCCUCCUGUAUAGAAUUUCAUCCAGUUACCCGCUGCACUGGGCCCAAUAACUUGUGUUUGACUAAAACAUAGCUUACAAUA